rnacentral:tRNA from 1 species
GAGGGUAUAGCUCAAGUGGUAGAAUGCAUACUUAGCAUGCAUGAGGUCCUGGAUUCAAUCCCCAGUACCUCCU